GUGAGGAAUAUUGGUCAAUGGGCGAGAGCCUGAACCAGCCAAGUCGCGUGAAGGAAGAAGGAUCUAUGGUUCGUAAACUUCUUUUGCAGGGGAAUAAAGUGCAGGACGUGUCCUGUUUUGUAUGUACCCUGAGAAUAAGGAUCGGCUAACUCCGUGCCAGCAGCCGCGGUAAUACGGAGGAUCCGAGCGUUAUCCGGAUUUAUUGGGUUUAAAGGGUGCGUAGGUGGUUUGAUAAGUCAGCGGUGAAAGUUUGCAGCUUAACUGUAAACAUGCCGAUGAAACUGUCGGACUUGAGUGUAAAUGAGGUAGGCGGAAUGCGUGGUGUAGCGGUGAAAUGCAUAGAUAUCACGCAGAACUCCGAUUGCGAAGGCAGCUUACUAAGCUACAACUGACACUGAAGCACGAAAGCGUGGGGAUCAAACAGGAUUAGAAACCCUAGUAGUCC
rnacentral:rRNA from 1 species